GACGAACGCUGGCGGCGUGCUUAACACAUGCAAGUCGAACGGAAAGGCCCUGCUUUUGUGGGGUGCUCGAGUGGCGAACGGGUGAGUAACACGUGAGUAACCUGCCCUUGACUUUGGGAUAACUUCAGGAAACUGGGGCUAAUACCGGAUAGGAGCUCCUGCUGCAUGGUGUGGGUUGGAAAGUUUCGGCGGGUGGGGAUGGACUCGCGGCUGAUUAGCUUGUUGGUGGGGUAGUGGCUUACCAAGGCGUUGACGGGUAGCCGGCCUGAGAGGGUGACCGGCCACAUUGGGACUGAGAUACGGCCCAGACGCCAACGGGAGGCAGCAGUGGGGAAUAUUGCACAAUGGGCGGAAGCCUGAUGCAGCAACGCCGCGUGCGGGAUGACGGCCUUCGGGUUGUAAACCGCGUUCGCCUGUGACGAAGCGUGAGUGACGGUAAUGGGUAAAGAAGCACCGGCUAACUACGUG
rnacentral:rRNA from 1 species